rnacentral:rRNA from 1 species
GACGAACGCUGGCGGCGUGCUUAACACAUGCAAGUCGAACGGAAAGGCCCUGCUUUUGUGGGGUGCUCGAGUGGCGAACGGGUGAGUAACACGUGAGUAACCUGCCCUUGACUUUGGGAUAACUUCAGGAAACUGGGGCUAAUACCGGAUAGGAGUUCCUGCUGCAUGGUGGAGGUUGGAAAGUUUCGGCGGGUGGGGAUGGACUCGCGGCUUAUCAGCUUGUUGGUGGGGUAGUGGCUUACCAAGGCUUUGACGGGUAGCCGGCCUGAGAGGGUGACCGGCCACAUUGGGACUGAGAUACGGCCCAGACUCCUACGGGAGGCAGCAGUGGGGAAUAUUGCACAAUGGGCGGAAGCCUGAUGCAGCAACGCCGCGUGCGGGAUGACGGCCUUCGGGCUGUAAACCGCUUUCGCCUGUGACGAAGCGUGAGUGACGGUAAUGGGUAAAGAAGCACCGGCUAACUACGUG